rnacentral:rRNA from 1 species
UUAAAUUGAAGAGUUUGAUCAUGGCUCAGAUUGAACGCUGGCGGCAGGCCUAACACAUGCAAGUCGAACGGUAACAGGAAACAGCUUGCUGUUUCGCUGACGAGUGGCGGACGGGUGAGUAAUGUCUGGGAAACUGCCUGAUGGAGGGGGAUAACUACUGGAAACGGUAGCUAAUACCGCAUAACGUCGCAAGACCAAAGAGGGGGACCUUCGGGCCUCUUGCCAUCGGAUGUGCCCAGAUGGGAUUAGCUAGUAGGUGGGGUAACGGCUCACCUAGGCGACGAUCCCUAGCUGGUCUGAGAGGAUGACCAGCCA